CCCAGUUAGGAAAUCCUAUCUAUCUGUAGUACCCUGGCAUGAGGAGAGUCUGACACUCCGAGAGUUUGAGAAACCAAUCAAGAUCAUACAGCUGGGUAGCUGAGUCAGAGGAACAAGAAAAUCCAGAGAUGGCAUGAACAGACUUGAUAUUGGAAAUUGGCUGGAGUCUUCUGCUGAUUUCUGAGGAGAGCUGUAAAUUCCUUAGUCUGAAGAGAUAUAGACCAGCUGGACAUCCAGCCGAAUAUCACACUGGUUCAAUAAAAUGAUGACAUCAUGCUAGUUGGACCAAAUGAACAGGAAGUCACUUGAAGA